rnacentral:tRNA from 1 species
GCGGGAGUGGCUGAGUUGGACAAAAGCGCGGGACUUAAGAUCCCGUCUCGCAGGAGUCCGAGGGUUCGAACCCCUCCUCCCGCACCA